GACGAACGCUGGCGGCGUGCUUAACACAUGCAAGUCGAACGGUGAAGCCCUUCGGGGUGGAUCAGUGGCGAACGGGUGAGUAACACGUGAGCAACCUGCCCUGGCUCUGGGACCACCACUGGAAACGGUGGCUAAUACCGGAUACGACCCGCCCCGGCAUCGGGUGUGGGGGGAAAGUUUUUCGGCUGGGGAUGGGCUCGCGGCCUAUCAGCUUGUUGGUGAGGUGAAGGCUCACCAAGGCGACGACGGGUAGCCGGCCUGAGAGGGCGACCGGCCACACUGGGACUGAGACACGGCCCAGACUCCUACGGGAGGCAGCAGUGGGGAAUAUUGCACAAUGGGCGAAAGCCUGAUGCAGCGACGCCGCGUGAGGGAUGACGGCCUUCGGGUUGUAAACCUCUUUCAGCUCCGAAGAAGCGAAAGUGACGGUAGGAGCAGAAGAAGCACCGGCUAACUACGUG
rnacentral:rRNA from 1 species